rnacentral:lncRNA from 1 species
UUAAACAAAGUUAUUUACAAAUAGGUGCCCUAACGCACCUCAAAAAUCGUUAGGUGGCAACUCUUAUCUUCUAACACCCUCUUAAAAAAGUUGUCACACAUCGAAACCCGCUUUCGCGAGAAAACGAGGCGUGACAAUUGUCACAGAAUAAUGUUUUUUUUGUCCAGAGAAAAUUCCACCGAGAGUUAUACCGCUCAGAAGUUUGUAUUGUCUACAUAUCAUGGCACUACCUCAAGGCUUGUUGCUAUCAGUCAUUCAUCCGAGAAGGUCUCAAAGAUCUCUUCCACCUCAACUUUCUUUUUGGCUACUUCAAGCAUGGACAAGUGAUCAGCCACUUAUUUCUUCGUUUCUUUUAGGUCAUGGAUUUCUAAGCUAUAUUCUUGUAGUAGUAACAUCCACUUAAUCAUACACAACUUAGUUCCCAAGAGCAGCAUAGUCAGUAUAAGCUAUUACCUUUGAGCCCAUUAAGUACGACUUGGAUUUUCCGAAUGUGAACACCACUACUAGCAUCUCUUUCUCCAUCAUAGUGUAGGUGAGUUGGUCACUACUCAAGGUUCUACUUUCUAGUAGAUUGGAUGCAUGACUUUAUCUUUGCUGGCCAAAAACUGCCCCCACAACAUAGUCCCUUGCAUCACACAUCAGCUCAAACGGUUUCUCCUAGUUAGGUGCAACUAUAGUGGGUGCAUUCACCAACAUCUUAUUCAACUCCUCAAAAGUUACUCUGCAGUCAUCAAAAAACACAAAGGGAUGAUAUUUUUCAAGAAAUUUACAUAUAAGGUUAUCAAUUUUGAAAAAAUCCUUCUAAUAGAAGCCGUCACGACCAAGAAAACUUCUUAUUGCCUUUACCAAAGUGGGUGGUGGCAAUUUUUCUGUCACGCCAAUCUUAGCACAAUCGACCUUAAUACCUUUAUUGGACACUGGGUGCUCCCAGAUUGUACUUUCUUGUAUCGUAAAAUGAUACUUUUCCCGAUUUAGCAUCAAAUUUAUAUCUAUGCACCUUCUUAAAACUUUUUUCAAAUUCCCAAGACAAUCAUCGAAUGAAUCCCUCACUAUUGAUAAAUCAUCCAUGAAAACCUUCAUAAUAUCCUCAACCAUGUCAAUAAAGAUGGCCAUCAUACACCUCUAGAAUGUGAAGUGUGCAUUUUAUAGGGUGAAAGGCAUUCUCCGAAAAGCAUAAAUGCCAUACAGACAGGUGAAUGACAUUUCUCUCUAUCCUCAAGGGCAUAAAGAUCUGGUUGUUCUCCGAGUACUCUCCGAAAAUCAUAAAUAGUCUUGGCGUGGGUCUAAACUUGAGGAAAGAUGUUUAUAGCUCUUAUGUUGGGUUUUAAGCAUUGGUAUAAACUAUUGUCAUUGGUGUGAUACUUGAGUAGGUUCGAAAUUAUGUUACUCGCCUAUGUGCUUAAUAUUAAGUUGCUCGAGGACGAGCAAGAGUUUAAGUGUGGAGUGGUGAUUAAUGAUAAAAGGUGCAUACAUUUUAGUAUGUUUGCAUAUUAUUUCUUAUGUGAGUUGCGGGAGAUCACACAACUUUUGAUGUAAAAUAUGCUCAUUGUAUAUUUUUUUAUGUAUAGGAACAAACUUGUGCAUAAAUGGAUCAAAUACGAGAAAAAUUAGAAAAAAAGAACUGAAGAGAAAAGUUUCAGACAAUGAAGUGAUGUUCACUUCCCCAGACCGGGACCAGAGUAGAAGAAAAUAGCAACUGGGAGCUAGCGGUUUGGGUCACGAGUCUGGAGGCGCUCCCAACAUUUCAAUCCGAAAUAGGAGAAGUCAAAUCCGCCCCAACUCAAUCCCACUUAAUAUAAAUAUGAUUGUUAGCCACUUUUUGGAGGAGACAAAACUUUGAAGACGCAAGAACACACUUGGAGCAAGG